rnacentral:rRNA from 1 species
UAUAUACGGUCUGUGAAGUAAAAGAAGUGAAAUAUGUGGAUUUUAAAUAGUCGAAGCAUCUUCAAUUUAAGUAAAGGCGAUUAAACCUUAAUUUUAUAUUCAAAAGACAAGUACUGUGAAGGAAAGAUUAUUAAUUGCUUAUAAGUAGAAAUAUAUAUUCGUACCUUUUGUAUCAUGGCUUAGCUAGAUUUAUUAUUUAAAUAAAUUGCCUAGAAAACUAAUGAGCGACUUUAUUUUUUCUUUCUAGAGAAAAGAAGUAGGUGUGGCAAAACCUUUUUUAAAACUUAAAGUAGAAAUGAAAUUUUAUUCGCAUUAGUUGAUAGCUAGUUUCCUUUUAAAGGCAUAGAAGUGCUCUUGGCUUGAGUGAUAAUCUAAAUAAAUUUAACUAAACUGUUAUUAAGCCAAGUUAAUUCUUUGAGGAUUAGCUCGAAGAAUUAAUUUAAACAAUUUUCAUUAAACCUUAAACUAGAUUUAGGCUUGAAAGUAGCCUCUAUUUCUGAGUUUGUUAUAAACCAUUGAAAUCAAUAUAAGGAAUAAUAAAUUUGUGAAAAACUAAAGAGGAAAAUCUUGAUAACUAUAAUAUAAAGAUAUUUAAAUGCUAAGAUGAGUAUUAAGAAAUAAAGUUAGGAGUUAAAAUAUAUAAAAGUUGAUAGAAUAAUAAAUAUAUAAAAAUUAAAUCUGUAAAAGGAACUCGGCAAAUUAAUUUGCUCCGCCUGUUUAUCAAAAACAUGGCUCUAUGAAAUUCAUAGAUAUAGAGUCGGACCUGCCCAGUGAAGACUUUCAACGGCCGCGGUACUCUGACCGUGCAAAGGUAGCAUAAUCAUUUGCCCUAUAAUUGAGGGCUAGUAUGAAUGGUUUGACGUGAGCAAAGCUGUCUCUUAUAGAAUAAAUAGAAUUUAACUUAUAGGUGAAGAUGCCUAUAUAACAUUGAUAGACAAGAAGACCCUAUCGAGCUUGAAAAAAAUAGUUAGAAUAAAGCUGACUCAAUUUCGGUACACUUAGGCUAAUUAAGAUUUUGGUUGGGGCGACUGAGGAACAAGUGAAGCUUCCUUUAAUAUAAAUACGAGCUAUCUAGCAAUGAUCCAAUAAAACUAUUGAUCAAAGAAAUUAGUUACCGUAGGGAUAACAGCAUAAUCUUUUUUGAGAGCUCAUAUCGAAAAAAAGGUUUGUGACCUCGAUGUUGGACUAGAGUUUCCCAAAGAUGCAGAAGUCUUUAAGGGUUGGUCUGUUCGACCAUUAAAACUCUACAUGAUCUGAGUUCAGACCGGCGUGAGCCAGGUCAGUUUCUAUCUUCAAUUGUUAAGACCUAAGUUUAGUACGAAAGGACCAACUUAAGGAAAUAAUUUCAUUGAUUGGUAAAAUAUAAUGAUAAUAUAAAUAUA